rnacentral:rRNA from 1 species
AGCGAACGCUGGCGGUAGGCCUAACACAUGCAAGUCGAACGAACUCUUCGGAGUUAGUGGCGGACGGGUGAGUAACACGUGGGAACGUGCCUUUAGGUUCGGAAUAACUCAGGGAAACUUGUGCUAAUACCGAAUGUGCCCUUCGGGGGAAAGAUUUAUCGCCUUUAGAGCGGCCCGCGUCUGAUUAGCUAGUUGGUGAGGUAAAGGCUCACCAAGGCGACGAUCAGUAGCUGGUCUGAGAGGAUGAUCAGCCACAUUGGGACUGAGACACGGCCCAUACUCCUACGGGAGGCAGCAGUGGGGAAUCUUGCGCAAUGGGCGAAAGCCUGACGCAGCCAUGCCGCGUGAAUGAUGGAGGUCUUAGGAUUGUAAAAUUCUUUCACCGGGGACGAUAAUGACGGUACCCGGAGAAGAAGCCCCGGCUAACUUCGUGCCAGCAGCCGCGGUAA